rnacentral:rRNA from 1 species
GACGAACGCUGGCGGCGUGCUUAACACAUGCAAGUCGAACGAAGAGCGAUGGAAGCUUGCUUCUAUCAAUCUUAGUGGCGAACGGGUGAGUAACGCGUAAUCAACCUGCCCUUCAGAGGGGGACAACAGUUGGAAACGACUGCUAAUACCGCAUACGAUCUAAUCUCGGCAUCGAGGAUAGAUGAAAGGUGGCCUCUACAUGUAAGCUAUCACUGAAGGAGGGGAUUGCGUCUGAUUAGCUAGUUGGAGGGGUAACGGCCCACCAAGGCGAUGAUCAGUAGCCGGUCUGCGAGGAUGAACGGCCACAUUGGGACGGAGACACGGCCCAGCCUCCUACGGGAGGCAGCAGUGGGGAAUCUUCCGCAAUGGAAGAAAGUCUGACGGAGCAACGCCGCGUGAGCGAUGACGGCCUUCGGGUUGUAAAGCUCUGUUAAUCGGGACGAAAGGCCUUCUUGCGAAUAGGGAGAAGGAUUGACGGUACCGGAAUAGAAAGCCACGGCUAACUACGUG